UUUUGAUUCUGGCUGGGUGGUUUCUACAUGUAUUUUUCUGUUGAUAACUUUUUAUCUCCCUUAGACUCCUUUUCAGUCAUCUGGACUGGAUACAAGUAGGACAACUCGGCAUCAUGGUCUGGUGGACAGAGUGUAUCGUGACAGAAACCGCCUUGGGUCACCACACCGGCGUCCGCUGUCUGUGGAUAAACAUGGAAGGCAGGUGGACAGUUGUCCAUAUGGCACUGUGUAUCUGUCGCCUCCAUCGGAUACAAGCUGGAGAAGGACCAAUUCAGAUUCUGCCUUGCAUCAAAGUACAAUCACCCCAACUCAACAAGAGUCCUUUUCAGGAGGGUCACAAGACAUGCAGCAAAAAAGAGUCUUAUUAUUGA
rnacentral:lncRNA from 1 species